ACCCUAGUUCCCAAAUCCCCCUCACUCCAGACGAAGCCGACUGCGCCGGCGGCGGUCCCAUCCUGUACCAGUCCGUCUCCAUCCUGUGCCGCCGUGUAUCGAGAGAGACGACAUACCUUCACUCUUCCCCUCUCUCGUGCGGCGACAAUGGAGGCCUAGCGACUGUAGCUACAUGCCUACAUCUCGCCAAGACAUUCUUGGGACGGCACCACAAAAUCGCAAGUAUAAUACUACGGGACAGCCCACACGACAACACCAACAACGUUCAAGGAGCUACAUCUACACUGCAUCAGAAAACGAGAUGGAGACAUCGCUGGCUCAGAGGACAUGAACAUCAACUGAUAAAUAGUGUAGAACCUGCUCGUGUUGUGGGUUCCUGAACUUUCUGAAGCAGCUUGAUUUUGCUAUGUGUGGGCCCGGCCGCAUGGAAGGGAUAUGAUUGCACUUGUUACUUUCAUAGAAAGAAAAUAGAUGUUGUGAUUCCAGGAGUGUGGUACGUAAUUCAUCGGACAACUUCGUAGAACUGUUCUUCCAAAUGGAGGGGACUAGUGCAACCUCACCAUCACCAAUCCUUGCAUGCCCCGCCAAUCCGUGUACUGUACCAACUAUCUCAGGUGAUGUUUUGGUGUCAAUAGUGCUAAUAUUUCUGGUUCUUCAUGGAAAACAUGUGUACUUCAGCUCGAUCUUUUAUUUAUUUUUUGCAGAAUCAGUCAGUAGCUUGGGAAUGACAGAAUUAGGUGAUGCCAACUCUUUUUCAGAGAUUAGUUCCAGGAUGCUUCCUCUUAGUGAAUUCUCUACACCCAAGAAGAGACAAUGCUUUUCUCAAGAUGGUUCAUUGCAUAUACCAGUGUGCGACGAGUCAAUGAAACCAACAGUAGGCAUGAGAUUUGAUGACAUUGC